AUUGAACGCUGGCGGCAUGCCUUACACAUGCAGGUCGAACGGCAGCGCGGGGCAACCUGGCGGCGAGUGGCGAACGGGUGAGUAAUAUAUCGGAACGUACCCUGGAGUGGGGGAUAACGUAGCGAAAGUUACGCUAAUACCGCAUACGAUCUAAGGAUGAAAGUGGGGGAUUCGCAAGAACCUCAUGCUCCUGGAGCGGCCGAUAUCUGAUUAGCUAGUUGGUAGGGUAAAAGCCUACCAAGGCAUCGAUCAGUAGCUGGUCUGAGAGGACGACCAGCCACACUGGAACUGAGACACGGUCCAGACUCCUACGGGAGGCAGCAGUGGGGAAUUUUGGACAAUGGGCGCAAGCCUGAUCCAGCAAUGCCGCGUGAGUGAAGAAGGCCUUCGGGUUGUAAAGCUCUUUUGUCAGGGAAGAAACGGGUUUUUCUAAUACAGAGAUCUAAUGACGGUACCUGAAGAAUAAGCACCGGCUAACUACGUGCCAGCAGCCGCGGUAAUACGUAGGGUGCAAGCGUUAAUCGGAAUUACUGGGCGUAAAGCGUGCGCAGGCGGUUUUGUAAGACUGUCGUGAAAUCCCCGGGCUCAACCUGGGAAUGGCGAUGGUGACUGCAAGGCUAGAGUUUGGCAGAGGGGGGUAGAAUUCCACGUGUAGCAGUGAAAUGCGUAGAUAUGUGGAGGAACACCGAUGGCGAAGGCAGCCCCCUGGGUCAAAACUGACGCUCAUGCACGAAAGCGUGGGGAGCAAACAGGAUUAGAUACCCUGGUAGUCCACGCCCUAAACGAUGUCUACUAGUUGUCGGGUUUUAAUUAACUUGGUAACGCAGCUAACGCGUGAAGUAGACCGCCUGGGGAGUACGGUCGCAAGAUUAAAACUCAAAGGAAUUGACGGGGACCCGCACAAGCGGUGGAUGAUGUGGAUUAAUUCGAUGCAACGCGAAAAACCUUACCUACCCUUGACAUGGCAGAAAUCCUCGAGAGAUUGAGGAGUGCUCGAAAGAGAAUCUGCACACAGGUGCUGCAUGGCUGUCGUCAGCUCGUGUCGUGAGAUGUUGGGUUAAGUCCCGCAACGAGCGCAACCCUUGUCAUUAGUUGCUACGAAAGAGCACUCUAAUGAGACUGCCGGUGACAAACCGGAGGAAGGUGGGGAUGACGUCAAGUCCUCAUGGCCCUUAUGGGUAGGGCUUCACACGUCAUAC
rnacentral:rRNA from 1 species